rnacentral:rRNA from 1 species
UACGUCGGGUGCAAGCGUUGUCCGGAAUUAUUGGGCGUAAAGGGCUCGUAGGCGGUUUGUCACGUCGGGAGUGAAAACUCGGGGCUCAACCCCGAGCCUGCUUCCGAUACGGGCAGACUAGAGGUAUGCAGGGGAGAAUGGAAUUCCUGGUGUAGCGGUGAAAUGCGCAGAUAUCUGGAAGAACACCGGUGGCGAAGGCGGCCUUCUGGACGGUGACUGACGCUGAGACGCGAAAGCGUGGGGAGCAAACAGG